GUCCACGCCGUAAACUAUCAAUACUCGUUUUCGGGGACUUAGGUCUUCGGAGACUAAGCGAAAGUGAUAAGUAUUGCACCUGGGGAGUACGAUCGCAAGGUUGAAACUCAAAGGAAUUGACGGGGCCCGCACAAGCGGUGGAGCAUGUGGUUUAAUUCGAUGAUACGCGAGGAACCUUACCAGGGCUUAAAUGCAGAACGCAUAUAGUGGAAACAUUAUAGUCUUCGGACGGUCUGCAAGGUGCUGCAUGGCUGUCGU
rnacentral:rRNA from 1 species